CCAGGAGCCCAGCAGCCCUUGCAAUGCGGGGCUGGGCAGCAGGGACUGUGGGCAGCCCGGAGGGGCACCCCUGGGUGACAGCCCCCGGCAGUGAUUGAUGGCCGGGGAAAGGAAGCGAGCUGAUUAGUUGCUGGAAUUUUUUUUUUCUUUUUUUUUACCUGCUAUUAAAAAAAAAAAAAAAUUGUACGUUCUGUGUGGGUUCCUGAUGUCGUAUGGAAGUGCCACAGGCGGCCGGCACCCGACUCAGGAGGUGACCGUGUGCCGUGUCGCCCAGAGGCGGUGAAGCUCAUGAGGAGGAGCGCGUCGGCUGCUGCUGCUGCGUGACAUGGCUCAGCGACCAUGGCGAAGGACGGGGAUGAAGCCCCCAGCCCCAGCAGCUGUCGGGGUGCUGCUGGCCCUGGCCCUGCUGGCUCUCAUCCACCUGCCCCCACCACCAGGCCACUCCCUGCUCCCGCUGCCGGCCUCGUCCCCCCCAGGGCCCCCGAGGGAGGUGGCUGCCCCGCUGUCUGGAGGACAAGCCUACAGAAGAAGGCUCCCCAUGCCUCGCACUCACCUGCAGCAGCCCCCUGGCCGGAGCAGGAGGCGGAGGGGGCUGGAGAGGGACACUCCCCCUUGGCUCUCUGCUGAUGACCUCCAGAAGAUGUGGCUGCUGUCCAGUGGGCAGGUGGUCUCCAAAACCCGUGUCCCUGCCCACGGGCAAAUCAUGCGAGUGAGGCUGCGUGCCGUGGGGGGUGCCAAGGGAGAUGCCAAGGGGGAUGUCUUGCCAGCCAGCCCGGAAGGAGACUGCCAGGAUGGGCGCUGUGGGCUCAUCAAGCGCCCUGGGGACCUGUACGAGGUGCUGGCCUUCCACCUGGACAGGGUGCUGGGGCUGAACCGCAGCCUGCCCGCCGUGGCCCGGCGCUUCACCAGCCGCCUCCUGCCCUACAGCUACACCGACGGCGCCCUGCGCCCCAUCAUCUGGUGGGCUCCUGACCUCCAGCACCUGGAGGAUGCCAACAAUGACCAGAACUCCUGUGCCCUGGGAUGGCUGCAGUACCAGGAGAUGCUGCAGCCCCACAGACCAAUGCUGGUGGCCAGGGACGCUCCCUGCUCCAGCAUCCCACACAGCGAGUGGAGCCGCUUGGCCCUCUUUGACUUUCUUCUCCAGGUUCAUGACCGCCUGGACCGCUACUGCUGUGGGUUUCAGCCUGAUCCCUCUGAGCCCUGCGUGGAGGAGAUGCUCCACGAGAAGUGCCGGAAUCCAGCAGAGCUGGUCCUGGUCCACAUCCUGGUCCGGAGGAGCGCGCCAUCCCGCCUGGUAUUCAUCGACAACGCGGGCAGGCCACAGCACCCUGAGGAGAAGCUCAAUUUCAGGCUCCUGCAAGGCAUAGACAGCUUCCCAGCAGCGGCAGUGGCCACGCUGCGGUCGGGCAGAUUGCAGAGCCUGCUGCUGCAGUCCCUGCGCCUGGACCGGGAGCUCUGGGAAAGCCAGGGGGGUGCCGAGGGGCUGAGACCCCUGCUCCAGACCAUUGACAGGCGGGCACAGAUCCUGCUCCGCCACAUCCAGGAGCACAACCUGACGGUGUUUGAGGACUCGCUGUGCUGAACCAACCUCCGGCUGGCUCACAGUGCCUGCCUUGCUCAUCCCAGCAGCCGUGGAUGUUCCUCGUGCCCUCGGCAUGGACGUUAUGAGGCUCCGUGCUGGUGCUUAGCCCUCCACAAGGUGUUUCCCCUCACCUUGUAGGAUGACCUGGAGAAGCAGAUGGAACCACAGGGAGUAGGAAAGAUGGGGAGGAGAUGUCUCCUAAGACAACCCACAACUGUUUGAGAAAGGCAACAGUCAUCAAGUUAUGGUCUCAGCAUGGAUUUUCAAAGGAAGGGCACAUCCAUGAGGUUUUCUGGAUGCCUUUAUGGACAUGCACACAAACACACAAACAGCAACUAUGAAAACUGGAGUCUUGGACAGUUGAACGGCUGACAGGGACCCUGGAAAUAGUUAAAGAAGCAGUGGAAGAAGUCACUGGCAGCCUUUCCAUGGCUUGUACUGGGCUUUUUGAUGAUGCCUUCACUAUUUCCAAAACAUCCCGGACAGAGAGGCAGGGGGAAAGCAGAGGGGAGCUUUCUAAGUGGAUUAAACAAAGACAAGACACUAGAGAUGAGCUCUGCCUUUCCCUCUGCAGAAAAGGUGACGUGUGCCUGGGAGACUGUGAGCCACUGCCUGGACAUUGGACCUUGGACUAGGCAGGACCUUGAAGGUCAGCAGCACUGGGCAGCAGCUGCCCUCACAUAGCCCAUGGUACCAUCCCCAGUGAGAGCCAUGUGCUGUGUGCCAUGUGCCAUGAUCCAUGCAUGUGCCUUGGUGGGCCUGGGCUGCUGCCAAUGCUCUCAAUGUUGAUUUGAAGAUUUAAAUCUCUCGUUCACUCUUUGCCUUCACUGUCAGGGGAUUAAAGGCAAAACUACCCCACUUCUGAAAAGCACUCCUGGCUGCUCUCCUGGGCAUGACUGCAUGUAACUCUUCCCCAGGCUUGCAGAAAUAUGUUUUAACAAAAAUGCCAAGCUAUUUUAGCAGAAGGCAGUCGAGUGCAAAAUGCUUUCUGAGCAUGCUGGCACCUCCGGCAGAGCCCAUCCUGUCCCUGUCACCCCUCAGGCUCCUUCCCAGAAGCACAUUCUGAUGAAGCACAGCAGCAUCCCAGCUAGGCAGGUCCUCAAGUGUCAGGGCUGAGAGAUAAUUCAAAAUCAAAAUGAACAGGAGGAAAAGAGAUGCAGGGAUGGGGUCCAUAAUUCCCCACAGUGUAUUUCCCAGCUGAGGCAUGCAGUCAGUGUUUGCCUGGAGCAGUCAGUUCCUGGCCUGUGGGUUUAUGGUUUGCCACCAGAAGGCUUUUUAAAGGCCUCCAUUUCUCCAGUGUUACAGGCAGAGCAUUCAGGCACUCCAGUUCACUUGUGCCUUUGGAAAGUCUCAGUGAGACUGGCAUGGGUACCCAGCUGCACCAUGGCGCAGCUGUCCCAUUGCAAUAGCUUUGGAGAACACAGCCACUCAUGCAGUGGGAGAGGAAAAGCUGGGUAUGAAUACCUUCCCUGCUCCAUCCUUCUCAGCACUAUGUCAGUUUGAGAAUCUGCUCUAACACCCAUGCUGAUAAGCACAGACAAUUACCUUUUUCCCCCUUUUCCCUCUUGCUGAAGAGAGGGUGAAGCGAGAUGUGGGUGACAUGAAUCAACAAGCAAGCACAAGUGCUCUCAGGAAUCAUCAGCACUCAGCAUCACAGGCAGCAUCCAAAGUCCCAUCAGCUUGUUCCUGGAGUCCUGCCCUCCAAUUAGCCAGGGAGCGCCUUUCCCCCAGCACUCUCUCCACCCCAUGAAUUAUCACCCUAUUUGCUGUGUCAUGAGAUGGAUCACGGUCAUGGAAACACUGCUAAAGCCUGAAUCAUGAGGAUUUAUUACUGGGAGAAACAGGAAACAACCAGUGUGUGGGAGAUAUCUCUACUUCAGCUGAGCAUGACCUUUUCAAGCCUGAUCACAGUUCAAGAGAGCUAUGGCCUUGAAGUUUGCCUCUUUUAUUCUGUAGGGACCACUGACUGCAGAAAACAGAUGCCAUCUGUCCACCGUGCCUUGUAAAUCAGAUUUUAAUCAUCUCAGGGAGAGGUCUGUCUCCAGCUGAGUGCUGCAAACCAGAUUUCCUGGCUGUGGGUGGAAAAUAGCUUAGGCCAUGCCUGAAUUGAUCAGAUAGUGUAUGGGGAACCAGGCUGGAGUGGGGAGAAGGUGGAACAGCCCCUUUCCAGAAGAGCAAAGGAGACUGCAGAUUAAACCAAAUCUUGAGCUGUUUUCUAAUGAGCCUGCUGCAGCUUUUCCAGGUGAAUCAAAGAAAUGAAAAUCCUUGGGCAAAACAAAUAUUUCCAUUCAAGUCCUUUUGUCUUCCUAUUCCCUAAUCUUCCCCCCAGAUCCUUAUUCCUGAUCCAGAUACUAAGCCCAGUCUCAGUUAUGAGGACGCUGGGACUGAGGGGUCACACCUAUUUCCAGGUGGGGCUGUGUUGUCCAGAGGAUGUUGGAACCAUCACCUUACUGGAGCCCAGGGAGCCCUCACCAAGGCUGGCUUUGUCCUUUAUCCCUCCAAGAGAUCCUUCACUUGUGCUCCUACUCACAAGCAUCAUGAUUUCGCCUUUCUUUCUUCUUCUGCAAAGGAAGAGAAUUUAAAGAUUAAAUUCCAAUGAGAAAUUAAAAAAUCAUAGGUCCCUUGAGACACAAAGUACAGCUAAACCCAACUCCAUGAGCAGGGAAACAGAUUUUCUACAUGUUGGGGGAAGUUUGGCAGGUAGGAAAAUAUUUCUCAGCUGAACUCUCCCACUGGUUUGGAUUAAUAGCUUGGGUCCAACUUCACUAUUCCCAUAACAAAUAAUUCUUAAACCAUAACUAGCCCAAGAGAAGAAAUAACUGCUGGAUGUCUUUUCAAUGCUGUAUUUUUUUCCUCUGUAAAGCAUUCCUCUUUUAAAAGCUCUCUGGCUCUUCACAGCUUAUUUUCCUUGGAUUUUAUAGAGAUGUCAGUACCAGACACAUGCAGACAACUAAGCUUCCAGGUGGCAACAUACACAAGAUACAUGUGGCAAAAAGUACAAGGCAAGAUGUUCCCAGCAAAACAACGUUUAAUUUACUGCUUGUGAAUGAUCCAUGAGGAGACCCAGACUUUUUUUUCUAACAUAUUCAGCUAUUAGUCAAAAUUAUUUGACACUCUGCAAGACCCCACCACCAGUGUCCACAGCCCCUCUGUCACAGGCUUCUCCUGCACAAGGGGAUGGAGGUUUGCAUGCUUCUUUUCCCAUGAGUUUGGAAUCUUCUCCAGCUCCAGAGAGCACCCUACAAUGAGAUUAAGUUGCCGUUGUGUUGGAGCACUGGGGGAAGUUAUUAAACAAGAACUCAAUGUAUCAUUUGUACUUCUCUUAAACUAAUAAACAAUAGAUGUUCCCUUCAAAGGUAAAGGAACAGCUAAUAAACCACUCACAAGCUCUUUCUUUCAACCCCAAUAAAAUCCCAGCCAGAUGCCAAAGAAAGCCUUAAACCCAAGCACUGAACUCGAUGUUGAAAUGUCAGCCCCCAAACGUGAGAGGAAUAUGUCCAUUUCCUCAAUAUGCCUGGAAGAGCUAGAGUUUGAAGGGCUUAAUCUUUCACUUUUGCUAUCAGGUAGAACAAAACGCUUCACCUAAAACCUGGUUGUAGUAAAUCAGGUCUUUGAAUGCCUGCAGAGAAGUCCUCGAGCAGUUCUCAGCUCCAGGUGUGGAAUGAGUUUGGACAGACUUUUAUCUCCAUUUUAGCAAAACAGAGUAAAACAUAUUCUACUCCACAAUUUUUUUUGCAGUCCCCUCAAAUGAAACCCUUAAUCAGGUGUCUUUU